AGUAACGUUACAACUCCUACAAUAGGAUCUGUCUUCCAACACAGAGCUACUUAUCAGCUGAUUUCAUGCAUGCACACGUCUUCAAAACACAACUAAGUUAGACUAAGAUCCACAGCAAUGAGCACAACUUGCAAUACUGAUGCGAAAGCUGUUUUUUAUUCUCUACAGUGGUUGUUUAGUCACGUUUAAGCGUUAAAAGCCCCAUCGCGUUCCAUGCUUUGGCAACAAUCACGCAUGCAUGCUGUCAUGAGAAUAGGCUUAAAUGGACAACGCAACUGACGUUUAAAACGUUCCAGCGAACGACUCGUCUAUAUUAUCAAACACCGAUGUUUCUAACGGUCUACGCCAUCUAGAAAUGACUUCUACGGGGGUGACGGGGUGACUUAGCAAUGAUCUCCCUUCCUGACUCCGGUGCAAGCCCUCCCACCAAUCCCUUGCUCUGCUCCCUACACCCUAACGUUACACCUGAAAGCUCUGCAGGCUUACUUGCAGUAAAUCAGCCCUGCACCAAAGCAUACACAGGCAUUCGCCAAGUGAGACGGGUUCAAAGGUCAUCUGAGUUUAAGAGAACGGAUUCUAAAGCAACAACACAAACCUUGGGCAUGGAGGAGGGAUCAAAUCGUAGGACCUUCUGGUUGCAACAGGGGUAAAGACCAAUGCCGUGCCAUCUAUGAUCUGCCCCAAUGCCAGGAUACACAACCGCCUCUGGGUGGUAUUUACACUGGCCCAACUCCGUACACAGGAAUUCCUGCCCGUGAGCAGGCAAGGAAAUUGAUGGUGCCCCAGAUCCUCCAGUAAACCAGUACCCAGGACUUCAACUCUUCAUAAAGCCCAUUCAAAUACUCAUGUACCUCCCAGGCCUUAUGUCUACACAGACACAGCACAAUUACCAACAUGUCAUUGCAUAUGUGUAAGUAUAAGACUGGAAUAUCAGCAUUUGGAAUCGAAGAUUUCAAUGAAAGUUAAAUACAUUUGCUGUGUAUGUGAUAGAAAUACAGAGUGCCUCAUUUAACCUGGUGUGAGUGAAUAUAAUGUUUCCCCGGGCAUCGAUGUUGAUUUUGUUUGGAACACAAGGGAUUUUUCUUUCAG